AAGUACACAAAGGCAUAUUCUCAACAUCAGAGACAGACAUAGGAAGUUGUGAUAUUAUGAAACACAGAAUAGAAUUAAUCGACAAAACCCCUUUCAAAGAAAGAUAUAGACGUAUUCCACCAUCAAUGAUAGAAGAAGUGAGGAAACAUUUAGAAGAUUUGUUAGCCAGUGGCGUCAUGUUUGGUAUUUUAAUAUGCAGAUAAAUAUUCUGUUUAUCUAUUUGUUUUUUACUAAUUCAUAGUUAAUUUUUAUUGCAGGUAAGAGGCAAUCCGGAGCAAACUAUCCAAUAUAUUUGAUAUUUGCUAAAUGUAUUUUUAUUUAGUACUGAAAGUCUUGACUUAAGUAUUUAAGUAGUUAUUAGUAACACUAACAUAGUUAGUGUAGUUGUAUUUGAAGUACGAGGUUGUUUUAUUUGGUACAUUUCAAGUCGGGACGACUUGAUUUUCGGAGAGGGGGAGAAUGUAACUAGGCGUAAAACUUAGUAUAGUGUAACCUGUACAUUAAGGUUGCGGUUAAUAAUGUUUUGGUUUGUCCCAAGCGGAAGUCAUUCGCUUGUCACUUUUUCAUAGAACAGAUUUGGAGAAAGAAAUAGAAAUCCAGUUAGUUUUAUAUAUUUCAUUAGGAAUCAGUAAAUGAUAAGUAAGUCAUAACAUUAAGAGGUAUUACUGCUUUUGUAUUUGUGUUUAUCAUCCCCGAUUCUUUCUUCUAUUCUUUUAUUUCUUUACUCAAACUAUCGGGCUAUCGGUAAAAAUAUGUUGUUAUGAAUGAUCACUUUCACUUUGCAAUAAUUAAUAUUUCAGCUAGCAGAACUAACCCCACCAGCCAUAUAUAGGAACAGCAGGUCCUGAAUAGCACAUAUUCAGACGUCAUCUUCUACUACUGACUUCCUAUAAACAAGGCUUAAGCUAUAUGAAUAUUGAUUGUAUUCAGUGAAUAAAGUAUAUUGUAACUUG